UUGGUGCCGUUAGAGCAGCUUCCAUGACCUGCCCUUUUAUACACGGGCCUCAAGUAAUCAAGAUGGAGAAGGAAGGGAGGAGAGAGUUAGCUUCCAUACCUCAUGGAAACACCCUCAGACAUCACCAUCUAUGCCAGCCUCAAGAGUGAUGAAUGCCUGGCGUGAGGGCUGAAAGUACGAACCAAAAGCAGAGACAUGAAAUGGGAGACAAGAAGGAAACAUUCUGCUGACUUCACCGUUUUCUUGGAGGUGGGAUCCAGCCCAGAGCUGUUACAUUCUUAC
rnacentral:lncRNA from 1 species